UACAGAGGGUGCAAGCGUUAAUCGGAAUUACUGGGCGUAAAGCGCGCGUAGGUGGUUUGUUAAGUUGGAUGUGAAAUCCCCGGGCUCAACCUGGGAACUGCACUUGUGACUGCAUGGCUAGAGUGCGUCAGAGGGAGGUGGAAUUCCGCGUGUAGCAGUGAAAUGCGUAGAGAUGCGGAGGAACACCGAUGGCGAAGGCAGCCUCCUGGGAUGACACUGACGCUCAUGCACGAAAGCGUGGGGAGCAAACAGG
rnacentral:rRNA from 1 species